AUUGAACGCUGGCGGCAUGCCUAACACAUGCAAGUCGAACGGUAGCAUGACUUAGCUUGCUAAGUUGACGACGAGUGGCGAACGGGUGUGUAACGCGUAGGAAUAUGCCUUAAAGUGGGGGACAACUUGGGGAAACUCAAGCUAAUACCGCAUAAUGUCUAAGGACAAAAGCUGGGGACCUUCGGGCCUGGCGCUUUAAGAUUAGCCUGCGUACGAUUAGCUAGUUGGUGGGGUAAGGGCCUACCAAGGCGACGAUCGUUAGCUGGUCUGAGAGGAUGGCCAGCCACACUGGAACCGAGACACGGUCCAGACUCCUACGGGAGGCAGCAGUGGGGAAUAUUGGACAAUGGGGGCAACCCUGAUCCAGCAAUGCCGCGUGUGUGAAGAAGGCCUGAGGGUUGUAAAGCACUUUCAGUGGGGAGGAGGAUUGAUAGGUUAAGAGCUGAUUGAUUGGACGUUACCCACAGGAGAAGCACCGGCUAACUCCGUGCCAGCCGCCGCAGUAA
rnacentral:rRNA from 1 species